rnacentral:rRNA from 1 species
GACGAACGCUGGCGGCGUGCUUAACACAUGCAAGUCGAACGGAAAGGCCCUGCUUUUGUGGGGUGCUCGAGUGGCGAACGGGUGAGUAACACGUGAGUAACCUGCCCUUGACUUUGGGAUAACUUCAGGAAACUGGGGCUCAUACCGGAUAGGAGCUCCUGCUGCAUGGUGGUGGUUGGAAAGUUUCGGCGGUUGGGGAUGGACUCGCGGCUUAUCAGCUUGUUGGUGGGGUAGUGGCUUACCAAGGCUUUGACGGGUAGCCGGCCUGAGAGGGUGACCGGCCACAAUGGGACUGAGAUAGGGCGCAGAAUCGUACGGGAGGCAGCAGUGGAGAAUAUGGCACAAUGGGCGGAAGCCUGAGGCAGCAACGCCGCGUGCGGGAUGACGGCCUUCGGGGUGUAAACAGCUGUCGCCGGUGACGAAGCGUGAGUGACGGUAAUGGGUAAAGAAGCACCGGCUAACUACGUG